rnacentral:rRNA from 1 species
AGUGCUGUAUCUAACCACCUGAUUUACCUUUACCUGAUUGCUUCCGUGGAAUUACGGGUGCUCUUCCUGUUCGCAGGCUUGAGUUACCUUCCACGGGUGUAUUUUAAAACUCGUUUUGUAUUAUUGUCUGAUCUAAAAUUUUAAUAAAAGUUAAAACUUUCAACAACGGAUCUCUAGGUUCUCGCAUCGAUGAAGAACGCAGUGAAAUGCGAUAAGUAGUGUGAAUUGCANAUUUCAGUGAAUCAUCGAAUCUUUGAACGCACAUUGCGCCCUUUGGUAUUCCGAAGGGCGUGCCUGUCUGAGCGUCAAUAAAUCAAUCAAACCUUGGUUUGGNAUUGGGAGAAGAGGUUUUUGUCUCUCUCCUUUAAGCUAUUGGCGACGCUAUUUCAGCUUGUAAGACGUAGUAAGUGAUUUCUCGUUAAAGCAACUGUAUGGCUGUCUGCCAAAUGAACGAUUUAUUUUACAGCUUGACCUCAGAUCAGGUAGGGAUACCCCCUGAACUUAAGCAUAUCANUAAGGGGAGGAAAAGAAACCAACAGGGAUUGCCUCAGUAACGGCGAGUGAAGCGGCAAAAGCUCAAAUUUGAAAUCUGGCGUCUUCGGCGUCCGAGUUGUAAUUUGUAGAGGUAGCUUUGGGUGUACAGCCAGGUCUAUGUUCCUU